CAUCAGGCCAUGGUUUCCAUGACAAUGGCCUGAGCCCGCCUCUGCCUCCCACAUCAGGUGAUGGCUCCUGAGCAGUGAGCUGAACUCUUCCCUUCUCCUGCUAACUGCAGUUUCCAUGGCAACAGGCUGAGCCACCAUUGUCCUACACACCAGGCAUGCUGCUAAAUGCUUUCUGCUGAAUUCCCAUGACAUAUCUGCAAGGUGGGUGAGGCCACCUUUCCACUUGACAAAUGAAGUCCCCGAGGUGCACAGGAGAAGGAGUGGCCUGCUCACAUUCUAAUCAUAGAGUUCAACUCCCUGGGAUGGAAUCCCUUGACCCCUGAGCCACACAUUCCUCAUUUGGAAAAACAAGAACCUGAGUCUCAAAGCUGAUGGUAGGAUGAAAUGUACAAAGGAAUGAUGGCCACACAGCAAACUCAACAAAUACCAGCACAAAAACACUCAGUCAUCGAGAUAAAUAAUAUUUUAAUGUAACAUUGGAAAUAAGCAAUAAUGCAAAGAAAACCCAAGAUGAACAUGAUAUUAAAAUUUUGGCCCAGACCAGUGUGGCUCAGUUGGUUGGGCAUUGUUUUGCAAAACAAAAGGUCACCAGUUUGAUUCCUGGGUUGCAGGUUCUGUCCAGUCAGAAUGCCAGCAAGAGGCAACUCAUCAGUGUUUCUCUCCCUCUCUUUCUCCCUCCCUUCCCCUUCUCUGAAAAUAAAUAAAAUCUUAAAAAGAUUAUUUUUGAAGAAUGACAAAGAGUCUACAGUCCUGUGCUGAGCCAUAUUAGCACCUGAGUCAAAAGGUAAAACGGAUACUCUUCUAUCCAUGCUCUUGUCCAUUUUUAACGGUUAACUUCUUUUGAGAAAUAGGUAUUAUAAAUUAUUUUCUUUCUUUGUUUAUCUUUAGGGAGAGGAGAAAGGAGAGAGAGAGAGAGAAAGAGAGAAACAUUGAUCAGUUGGCUUUUGCAUGCACCCAAAGAGAGAACAAGUCCUGAAACCCAGGUAUGUGCCCUGACUGGGAGUAGAACCCACAAUUUGGUUUGCCAGACAAUGCUCAUCCAACUGAGCCACAUCAAUCAGGGCUGGAAAUAGAUUUUUGAAAAUAUUUUUGAUGAGUUUGCCUCCAUGAAAGUCAAGAAAGUGAAAUUAUAAUAAAUUCUGGGUUUUUUUUUCUAUCAUAUAAGUAAAAUAUUUUAACAUAAGACAAUAGUUCGAUUCCCAUUCAGGGCACUGGCCUGGAUUGUGGGUUUGGUCCCCAGUCAGAGCACAUAUAAGAGGCAACGGAUCAAUGUUUCUUUCACACAUCGACAUUUCUAUACCUGCCCUGGCUGGUGUGUAGCUCAGUGGAUUGAGCGCCAGACUGCAACCCAAAGGAUCGCUGGUUCAAUUCCCAGUCAGGACACAUGCCUGGGUUGCAGGCCAGGUCCCCAGUAGGGGACAGGGUUUCAGAUGAUCAAGGUAACAAAGUUCUGGAGAUGGAAGGUGGUGAUGGUUGUACAACAGUCUUAAUGUACUUAAUCUUACUGAACUGUGCACAUAAAAAGAGUUAAAAUGGUCAAUUUUAUGAUAUCUAUAUUUUACUACAAUUAAAAAAAAUUUUUAAGGUGCACGAGCUACUAUUGAUAGGUCCGUAGCUUUAGGAGUCUUCCGCAUCCCCCAUCCUGGUUGGUUGGACAUCAGUAGCUCUAUUU